rnacentral:rRNA from 1 species
UACGGAGGGUGCGAGCGUUAAUCGGAAUUACUGGGCGUAAAGGGUGUGUAGGUGGUUUGAUAAGUUAUCUGUGAAAUUCCUGGGCUUAACCUAGGGUGGUCAGAUAAGACUGUUGGACUCGAGUAUGGGAGAGGGUAGUGGAAUUUCCGGUGUAGCGGUGAAAUGCGUAGAGAUCGGAAGGAACACCAGUGGCGAAGGCGGCUACCUGGCCUGAUACUGACACUGAGACACGAAAGCGUGGGGAGCAAACAGG